UGUAGGCGAUGCACAAGGUCCGAUGAGCCAUACGAUUGGGAUUUAACUUGGGCUGGCUUGGGCUUGAUAUGAUUAAAUCUUUAUGACUAAAAAUUUUUGAAAAAAAUAUAAUAAGUAUCAAAUAUAAAAUAAUAAGAAUUAAGUAUCAUAAAUUUUAAUACUUUUUAUGUCAUUUUUAUGCAUUGAUCAGUGGUCAUCAAUCGGCUUAAGGAUGAAUUAGAGGAGAUGGUGGAUCAAGUUGGACACUGCCGUGCUUGAGAGAAGAUGUGUUAGGGAUUUAUUUUGUUAUCUUGAUUGCUUAUUGGCUUGUUGAUGGCCAAAAAUCAGUAGUCGGACCAAGGGGUUAAAUGCAAUAUUUGUAAUGAACUCUUAAUUUGUCAACUAGAAUGAGUUCCUUGAUUUGUAUUAGAGUUCC
rnacentral:lncRNA from 1 species